UACGAAGGGUGCAAGCGUUACUCGGAAUUACUGGGCGUAAAGCGCGCGCAGGUGGUUUCUUAAGUCUGAUGUGAAAGCCCACGGCUCAACCGUGGAGGGUCAUUGGAAACUGGGGAACUUGAGUGCAGGAGAGAAGAGUGGAAUUCCACGUGUAGCGGUGAAAUGCGUAGAGAUGUGGAGGAACACCAGUGGCGAAGGCGACUCUUUGGCCUGUAACUGACGCUGAGGCACGAAAGCCAGGGGAGCGAACGGG
rnacentral:rRNA from 1 species